AACACAUGCAAGUCGAACGGGAUCCUGCAAGCUUGCUUGCGGGUGAGAGUGGCGAACGGGUGAGUAAUGCGUGACCAACCUGCCCCAUGCUCCGGAAUAGCUCCUGGAAACGGGUGGUAAUGCCGGAUGUUCCCGCGCCCCGCAUGGGGUGCGGGGAAAGCUUUUGCGGCGUGGGAUGGGGUCGCGUCCUAUCAGCUUGUUGGCGGGGUGAGGGCCCACCAAGGCUUCGACGGGUAGCCGGCCUGAGAGGGCGACCGGCCACAUUGGGACUGAGAUACGGCCCAGACUCCUACGGGAGGCAGCAGUGGGGAAUUUUGGACAAUGGGCGAAAGCCUGAUCCAGCAAUGCCGCGUGUGUGAUGAAGGCCUUCGGGUUGUAAAGCACUUUUGGCGGGAACGAAAAGGACUGUGCCAAUACCACGGUUCGAUGACGGUACCCGCAGAAUAAGCACCGGCUAACUACGUGCCAGCAGCCGCGGUAAUACGUAGGGUGCAAGCGUUAAUCGGAAUUACUGGGCGUAAAGAGUGCGCAGGCGGUUUUGCAAGACCGAUGUGAAAUCCCCGGGCUUAACCUGGGAACUGCAUUGGUGACUGCAAGGCUAGAGUGUGUCAGAGGGAGGUGGAAUUCCGCAUGUAGCAGUGAAAUGCGUAGAUAUGCGGAGGAACACCGAUGGCGAAGGCAGCCUCCUGGGAUAACACUGACGCUCAUGCACGAAAGCGUGGGGAGCAAACAGGAUUAGAUACCCUGGUAGUCCACACCGUAAACGAUGAUUACUAGGUGUUGGAGGAUUGACCCCUUCAGUGCCGCAGUUAACACAAUAAGUAAUCCACCUGGGGAGUACGACCGCAAGGUU
rnacentral:rRNA from 1 species